UGAUCUCUCUAUGGGCUGUCUACCUAGGACUGGAUUCUACUGUCUGGGAGCUGACUUCUCCGAAGCCACGGUAUCCCACUCAGAAUCAGCGCUGAUGAAGAUAUUUCUUCAUCAGCAGCCUUGCCAGAAUCAAGUCCCAAUUUUCCAAAUCAUUGGACUAUUUCAUUUGCACUAAGCUGAAACACUCUCUUCUGGGGAUGAAGUCAAGAAGGGGUGGAGUCAAAGCUGCUAAGUGAUACCUAGAGAUACUGCUUCUCACAGGAGGAUGCCCUCAAGGUUUCAUUUCAGCCUGGGUUUCCCUGGCUUCAGCACUCAGUGCUUUGUUGAAGCUUUGGAAGGAACUCAGCUUUUGUGUCUAGCACCUCCUGUGUGCACUGAGAGAUCCAAGGUGCCCUGGCUCAAGAUGUCAGGACCCAGAUUCAAGGUCUGGAUAAAACAGAAGAGAUAAGCUUCCUGGUGUCUCACCUGGACAAUCAAUCGCCUGGCCGGGGAGAAGUUAAUCCUUAAAGUGGAAGACAAGGAGAGGUGAAACAAGAGUCAAAGAAGCUCAACAGGAAGAAAGAGGAUGGAUAGAAUGAGGGGAUCUGAGAGUCAGGUGUUUGCUUGUGAUGCAGGGUGAGUAUGGGUGCACUGUGAUACUCAGGAGCACAUGAGGGCAACGGUAAUACUUGGGGGUACAGCAAUGCUGGGGAGCACAGGUUUUGUAGGAGAUGAGGAUCUUCUAACAUUACAAGAAACCUGUUGUCCUGAUCUGUAGCUUGGGACAAGUGUAAGAACUUACACGACCGUGUAAAGAUUAAGUGAUCAUCUUUGCGUAGCGUUGGGAAUAGAGUAAAUCAAGGGGUGGUGGCUCUGAUCAACACUAGCCCAUGAACAGAAUGUAAGCUGUGCAGUUCCCUGAUGGUUGUAUCGGCAUCCACAGGGGUCAAGGGCGUGUGGCUUAUGUGUAUGGCUGUGGGGGUCCAGGAACUGAGAAUGGUUUUUACACUUGAAAAUGGCUGGAAGAAAACUUAGAAGAAUAUCUCACGACGUGCAAGGAUGUUGCAUGAUGUGAACGCUGCUGGCUGAGGUGUCUAGUUGGAACAUAGCCAUGCUUGCUCCUUAUUGUCUCGCCCUCUGUCUUUUAAAGGAAACUUGCUGAUUUCUUGGCAUAAGCCCAGAAGGCUGAGGGCAAAUAAGUGCUUUCCUCAGCUGGACCUGGCUGUCUUUCCACUGUGAAGCCUCCCGACACCCUCUCUCCCUACUGGCCUUCCCCAUGGGUCCCAGAGAACCUUUUGGUCAAACCUGCCUCAGUUGAUCCAGCUGACCCAGCCACAGCCAUUACAAAGAAUCCCCCAGGGAACCCAGACAAAGCUGCUUUGACCCUGAAAGAAAUGCACAGUACAAUUUCCCAGAGGCAAGGGAUAUCAUCACUCAGCAAACAACACUUACAUUAUGUUUGGAUGGACUUUUUCCUUCAUGUUUACAGAACAUAGACAAAUACAUUUUUAAAGCUACAUGUGGAUAUUAAAUUUUAUUUAUUUGUAGGGGCUGAAGCGAUGGCUCAGUGGUUAAGACCAUGGCUGCUCUUCCAGAGGAUCAGGGUUCAAUUCCCAGCACCCUCAUGACAGCUCACAACUGUGUAGAACUCCUCUUCUGGCCUCUGUAGGCACUACAUGCACAUGGUAUACAGACAUACAUGCAGGAAAUGCACCCAUACACAUUAGAUAAAGAAAUAAAAUUUAAAUGGAGU
rnacentral:lncRNA from 1 species